rnacentral:rRNA from 1 species
GUGCCAGCCGCCGCGGUAAUACGUAGGGUGCGAGCGUUAAUCGGAAUUACUGGGCGUAAAGGGUGCGCAGGCGGUUUUGUAAGCCAGAUGUGAAAUCCCCGGGCUCAACCUGGGAAUGGCAUUUGGGACUGCAAGGCUAGAGUGUGGCAGAGGAGACUGGAAUUCCUGGUGUAGCAGUGAAAUGCGUAGAUAUCAGGAGGAAUACCGAUGGCGAAGGCAGGUCUCUGGGUUAACACUGACGCUCAUGCACGAAAGCGUGGGGAGCAAACAGGAUUAGAAACCCUCGUAGUCC